GCUACUUGUUGUUCCUAGUACAAUUUUAUCCAGCCCACAAAGCAUUGACUGGAGCCCCUCUCGCCGGCUAUUCUCAGGCUGUGCAUUGAUGUGUCGAUCACAGGAGUCUUGCCGGUUCUUCUUUCGGAUGAGACUGUACCAGAGAGAGCAACUUCGCACUGGCUGGGAGCGGCCCACAGGGCUUCUUGUCUUCACUGGCAUCUCCUCUCCAUGAUUGAGCAUCACUUAAACCUGCGAGACUUUCCUUGCCCGUGAUUCAUGGCAGCGAGUGACAUAUGCUGGGUGCUUUUCCUUGUAGGAUCCCCAAAUAUUGCCAUUUAAUUACAUGUCAAGGUUGGCUGAUUUGGACACCAGUCUUCUGCUACCUGCUUCCAGGAGGCAGACUGUGAUUGAGUAGGUAACCCUGUCGUGUCCCCACGGUGUGGGCAGAAGAAAGGGACACGGCCUCCUAUCCUAACCUCUGUAAGUCUGUAAGUCUGCUUGCAGAGACAUUAUGUUCCUUCAUGAAGGUGUGUGCAUAUGUGUUCAUCAAAACAGCCCUCUUUUCUCUAUACUUCAAAUAGAUUUCCCCUAAAUAGCUCUGUGGACAAGAGGAAGCAAAACAAAAAUAUUAAAGGAUUUCAUCGACAGUGCACAACCCCUUCUCUCCGUGCAUGCUUCACAAACUGCAUCGGCAUAGCACUGCUGAAACGUAGCCACUUCUGAGCUUGAGAGGGGCAACAAGCUGAGGCUUAGCAUGCGGAGCCAGAAGGGUUUUAGCUAAUAUACUAGAGAAGGGCCACUGCACAGAGUUGAAGAUCUCAUCCCAAAGACCUGCCAAAGGACAAGUCUCCAGAAGGACACUUGUGUGUGCAUUCAAUCUUCAGCUGAGGUUGUGUGUGAGCCUCAGAGGGGGUGUGCAUGGGGAAGUCACAAAUGUAGAAAAAGUGCUGAUUUACCUUUGAAAUGCAGCAGACUUAGCUUUUCUGCCUUGGAAAGGAGAGGAGAUGAAAUGGGUCUCUAGAAAAUUUUUGAAUGACAGUGGGCCUUUGAAUAGAAGAAAGCCCCAUGGGACCUUACUUGGCAUCUCUUCUAGGCUGGGCAUGGACGUCACCUUUGCACCAUAGACAUUUCUGUGGCAGCUCAAAGUGGAAGCAAGCAGAUGUCCAAACCUUCUGUCAUGCCCAAAAUGCUCACAUCUAUGGCAGCGACAGACUAUAGUAACACAUUGGACCACUUUAUUGCAGCCCCUGUGUGUUGGCUUGUGGAGGAAGAGCUCAGCAGAGUGAAGCUGCCCAGGCCCUCCAGCCUCCCUGAAGGGCUCAGUUCUGCACACACCAGGACUUCCCUGGGCAGGGUCAGCCUCCAUCAAGCCUUGCGAGUGCCUGCCUUGCUUUCCCUGCUUAACCAGAUGUGCCCCUUCCAGCGAUCUCUCCCCAUGCCCGGUGCUUUGCAGAUGUGCUAGGGGUAAUGUUUUGCAGAGGGAUUUGGAUUUCCCCGUGUGUGCUUGCAAAUGUGGAGCGGGGGGCCCUGAUUCGAGCUCCCCCCUGCUCUGCCCUUGCAGGUGUGUGCAGGGGAUGCUCUCACUCCCCACCACGGGAGGCAUGUCUGCAAGUGGGGUUUUCACCCCUGCUUGGAGACGCUCCCCAAGUCAGGGCACAGCAAUGGCUCUAGAUGUCCCUGGGGUGUGAUUAGCUGGGCCACGACUUGUCACGCUCCAGCAAAGAUGUUUGUUCCUAGCCUCAGUCUGCCAGGGAGUCACUGAUCCCUGUUGUUUGAGAGUGAGUCUGCCUUAUGCUGGUUUUAGCUAGCCCAUGCUGCCCUGGUUUGCUUAUGUGAUUUGGGACAGCUUCAGCAGCCUUGCUAAGGUCCAGAUGCAUCAUAGCGGCUCCCCCUUAUCGGCUUAGCUAGUUAUCCUAUUAAAGAAGGAAAUUAGAUUGGUUUGACACAACUGGUUGUUGACAAAUCUGCGCUGGCUGGUUUUUUUCAUCACCUUAUUAUCCUCUAAGCGCUUAUGAAUUGAUUGUGCAAUAAUUUGUUCUGGUGUUUUUUUUCUUGCCAUCACAAUUACAGUGACUGGUCUGUCAUUCUUUAGGCCCUCCUCUUUCUCCUUUCUAGUGCUGUUUGCUAUUGAGAAGCAUUUGCUUGCUGGUACAAAACACUAUUAAAUCUUGAAUGGAAAUGUUA